rnacentral:rRNA from 1 species
UAGGGAAUCUUCGGCAAUGGACGAAAGUCUGACCGAGCAACGCCGCGUGAGUGAAGAAGGUUUUCGGAUCGUAAAACUCUGUUGGUAGAGAAGAACGUUGGUGAGAGUGGAAAGCUCAUCAAGUGACGGUAACUACCCAGAAAGGGACGGCUAACUACGUGCCAGCAGCCGCGGUAAUACGUAGGUCCCGAGCGUUGUCCGGAUUUAUUGGGCGUAAAGCGAGCGCAGGUGGUUUAUUAAGUCUGGUGUAAAAGGCAGUGACUCAACCAUUGUAUGCAUUGGAAACUGGUAGACUUGAGUGCAGGAGAGGAGAGUGGAAUUCCAUGUGUAGCGGUGAAAUGCGUAGAUAUAUGGAGGAACACCGGUGGCGAAAGCGGCUCUCUGGCCUGUAACUGACACUGAGGCUCGAAAGCGUAGGGAGCAAACAGGAUUAGAUACCCUGGUAGUCCACGCCGUAAACGAUGAGUGCUGGAUGUAGGGAGCUAUAAGUUCUCUGUAUCGCAGCUAACGCAAUAAGCACUCCGCCUGGGGAGUACGACCGCAAGGUUGAA